CAUUACCUCUUGUACUAUCACUAGACUUUUAAAGUGUAGUUUUAAAAUGGCUUUAAAACCAUGUAGUUUUAGAAUGUAGUUAAAAAAUUUAGCUAACAAUUCCUUUAAAGUUUCCUCAGGAAAUGAGAAAUGUAAAUAUAACUAAAAUAUUCGUCAGGAAAUCUACUUUAUUACAACUAAGUGUUUAUUUUAAACUUUAACUUAGUUCUGCACAGCAUAUUGAUUUAACUUUUGAAGGAAGUAGGAGCACAGUCCAUGACUACUUGUAUCAGUUGAGAUAUUUUUUGAGAUGGUCAAGUCAUGUUGUUGUCUGACAAAGUAUAUCAGAAAGCUUUUAGGCUGAAAAAUGAACAACUCCAUAAAGCUGAACAUUAUUGUCAUGGAAACUUCUGCACACCAACUAAUUGACGUUAUUUUUUCACCCCAUUACAGUAAUUAUUUGUAAUCAUUAUUUUUGUAGCAUGUGUUCGGCACUUAAAGUGUGUAUACUACUGGGAAGAGCUGGAUUAUUCAUCAGGAGAAACUGAGAAAUUGAGUUGAAAAUGCCGAAUCAGGCAGGCAGAUGGAAUUAUCUCCUGUUUUAGGAGCAUUCACUCCUAAAAAUAAAUAAAUAAAUAAAUAUUUUUUUUUUCCUCUAACUUCCUCAUACAUGCAAACAAGGAAGCAAACACUCUCCAAGUUUCACAAGAAAAGAGUAAGUCAAAAAUACCAUAACCACUGAAAGACAAUUCAAAUAUAGAAAGUUUGGUGGACCCAUUCUUCAAAAAUGUGUUCAGCUUCUCUGAGGUCAAGAGGUUCUUCUGAUGUACCAAGACAGACUCCUGAGUUCUGAUCCAGUGUCACUCAGAAGGGUAUGGACAGACAUAGCCCAGAGUUGUGGCAGCCAUUAAUAGAUCAAGCAAGCCCAUGCAGCUGUGUUUUGAUCAGUGGAAAGGUUUCUGGCAUCCAAGAGCUGAAAUCACCUUUUGGGUCAUCACACCUCACUGGAGGUUUCCCUGCUUUAAUGAGCAUCUCAGAAACCGCAGAGAGGACUGGAGAAUGGGGGUUGUUGCACAUUCUUGUAUUUGAAAGCAGCUCCAUAGCAUCUGCAAGAGGAUUCUUGGCACCUGCCUAGUUAAACUGGAUGUCCAAUGUUAUCUCUCCAGGCAAGUAAGAUUCUGGCAAUCACUGUAGUCCUAUUUCACUUGUUCUCAGUCUUUUUGACACAAACACAUUAAUUCCCCCAAGCUUCUUUGGCAGCUGUAAGUUCUCUCCUUUUUUUAAUAUGAUUGAUAAUAUUGAAUAUUUCUUUUAACCUUUUACUGCAUUUGCUGGGCUAGGUGAUAGUUUCUCUAUUCGGGUGUUAAUCUCCAGCAUGCAGUACAAUGUCUUCCAAUUGCCUGCUCAUUAUGGAGCUCAUUUGUAAUAUGUUGCCAUUUAAUUUACAACUGCCUACCAAGCUCUGCCUAGCACUGUCCUACAACAUAUAAUGUCAUCCUUCCAACACUUCCACUGUCAAAGGUCAUAUAAAGCAAACUACUGCUUACUACAGAAACUACUUCUAGUUUAGCACAGAAAGAAUGGCAGCCCUUGGGCAAAAUUUGACUGUGUCGUUUCAUAUGAUGCACUGGAAAGAAAUACAUUCUGGAAAAGGUGCCAAUAAUGAAGGUUCCCUGAUUCAGUGCAGGAAAUGACCUGAAAUGUACAGGCAAAAAAAUGCCAUCAUUGUCUUUACUUCCAAUUUCUCAGGAAAAGAAAAGGUUGUUUGAGGAGACACAAAUAUAUAAAAACAAAAAGACCUCCCAGGCUGACUUGAAAUAUGUUCAAACUACACAUCCACUCCCUGCUCCCUAGAACCCAGUAAAUAUUUCUUUGGCCCCACAAAAUAUUUUAGUUUGAACCCAGCAAACCUCAGAUUGACCUUGGAAAUAAGAUUCCUCGUUUUCAAAGUAAAUGUCUCAGCCACACCACUGGAGGAGUUGCACUUUUCUGACUGAAACAUAUAAAACUUGUCUCUUUUGGCAAAUGGGGUAGAUUAUACUGUGGGGAACUGGUUGUUUUCCCAAUUAACUGACCAUAGGCGCUCUCAAACUCCUUUCCUCAACUUUUGUAACCUAGUACAAUGCUGGUGGCAAGGUUAAAACAUCUUUUUUAGGCCAUUAGGGGCAGAGUUAAGCCAGUGUAAAGCACUAGAGUCUGUCUCAAUGGAGAUACACUGACCUAUCCUGCUGAGCAUCUGGUGCAUGUCUCUACAGACAUUUUGUUCUCUCUUCUCCUCAGGUUGUAUUGGAUGCUUUAACAGCAUUUGAUCCUGUAGUGUCCUUUUAGCUUACCUUGAAUCCCCUUUGAGAUUUUAGACUACAUAUGUCUGGAUUUGAUUAGCUUUGUCAGUUUGUUUUCUUCUGAUGUUUUUCUCCUCUGCCAGCUGUGUUAACUCUUCCCUCACCCAAGACAAGAUCUCACACCCUAAUCUAAUAUAAUGAAAAUACGUUUUUGAAAUAGUCUUUGACAUCAUUUUCUGAUGAUGUCCAACUCAUAUUCAGAUACAAAUUCUGGGAUCUGGUUAUCUGUUCUCCGUAGCAAAGUGUAUGCACAUGUUCCACAUAGAAUGUAAGGACAAGAAAGGUCUCAAAUUCCCCUUCUAAUGACUGGUUGAUGUCUAUCAACUGAUGCUGAAAAUCAUUGUGACCGCAGCCUUCCUUUUAAUAUCAUAGCUGCUUCCAGCAUGUCAGACAUAACUGCCUUUUAUACAAGUCUUAUUUAAACCAGACAAAAACAAUUAAGAUGGUUGUUUUGAUUGGCAUCUACCAUAUUAAAUGAAUCAAACUGCUGUAAUUCUAACAAAUAUAUAUAUAUAUAUAUAUAUAUCAGUGUUGGGUAUUAAAUAAAAUAAGGUUAUGCUUUACCUCAAUGAGCAUUUCAGGUUUUGCUUCAGCCUGAGUUUCUCGCUUGAGGCCAACCAGAAGUGUUGAAAUGCUGUCAGCUAGGGUUUCACAGAAGCUUCUGGUCCAGGGCGCCAAUGCAGACAAUCCAACUGCCCAAGAUGAGGUCCUUGCACCCUCUCCAUCUCCUGCUGAAGCUGUUGAAUCUUGUGUGUGCUCAGGGUUUCACAAGGCUGCACUAUAUCCACGUGGUGCAGAUUUUAAGAGCUCCAUGGUGCUCAGAUAAUAUUCAUAUCUCUGAAGAGGACAAUGCUGUCCAAAUAGAAUGAACCUUUGAACUUCAAUAGGUUUUUGGUAUGACCUUAAGCCUCAGAUUUAUAAAAACAAAACAGAACACCUUAAGCCUCAGAUUUAUGAAAUCAAAACAGGACAAAAACCACUGCUUGCUUGCUUUCAUUCUAUUUUCUGAUUUUGCACUAAACUGUCAGCAAAGCAGGCCUUUUACCUAUAAACAGAUGGUACAAAAUUCUGCAGGAUUUUCCCACGUUUGAUGAACACACACAUCAAGUCUAUUUACAUGAGCAUGGAAAAUAUUAAAAUGACUACCAGGUCUGUACAGCAUAAGACACCUGGAGUACAUUGCUGCCAGCAAGCUUCCAAGGCGGGGAGAUUCUGGCACACGGUUACAGUUCUGGGGACUGGGCCAUUUUUGACUUGGGUUAUUGCAUCUUUUUACACCUGAAGACAUGUUCACCUCUGACCCAGAAACAUCUGCAAUGUCAAACUAUAAAAAGGGGAAUUGAAUUGUAGCCUUUUUUUGCCUUACUGUUAUUUUUAUUUUCUAUUGAAAGGAGUUUUAAAAGGCCUAUGAAAUGUAAAAUUGCUUUCUUGCCAUAGUUGCAAAACUCAUUUCACCUUUUUAUCUGAGAUGUGCUUGUAGCAAAUUUCCAGAGUUAAAAAAUGAAUACAAUAACCCACUUUGAGUAAGGAUCAUGGUCCAAAGCACUGAGCACAGCACAGUCUGCAUCUCUCAAGGCUUGGGGCAGAGAGGGGAACUGCCCCAGUAGCCUGUGUUAUCCUCACUCCCAUCAUUCACCCAGACACCUCACCACUUGAUGUUACCCACAACGUUGUUGCAUAUUCCAUCUUUCCUUCCUAAAGUAAUGUUGUAGACUGAUGAGGGAUAUUUUUAUAUAUAUUAUUAUUCACCAAGUCCUAACUUCUUUUCCUUCUUUGCAGGGAUAAUUUACAAAUAUUUGGUCCAUUACUGCUGCUCUUACGUAGCCCAUCAUCAGAAUACCAGCUGUACUGGUGACUACACAAGUGACUGUAGUUUCUUAUAGGAAAUAUUGGUAUACCAUAAUAUUUAUUCGAGUCUUUCUUUCACCUUUCUUGUUAUGAUUUGCUCUUGUGAUUUAUAUUCAUACAGAUAUUUAUUUAUUUAUUUUUACUCUGGGACCCUUCUGUGUGUCAGUUUGUGCUAGUGUAGAAUGAAUUUACAUGGUUUGUAGUAGAAUGUGAAUAUCUUUGGUUGAAUAUCACUAGAGAAAUCCCCAGAAUUAUUAUUUUGACAUUUAGUUAUGGUAUAAUCUAGCCAAUUUUUCGUGUCAUUUAGCACAAGAAGUAUAUAGGGCAAAGCAGCGCAGUAUGUUGAUAGAUGGUGUAUUGCUGUGUUUGAGUUUGCCAAAAUUAACACAUUGCCCAUUGGAAAAAAAAAACUUUGGAAAACUUUCUCUUUUCUGAGUACAGGCAUUUUAUGUUAGAGCCUUAGAGCUGGUUCUGUCUCUCCUAAGUUAUAAACCCUUAUGGAUGUACCAUAAAGAUGUCCACCUAAUGCAGAGAAAAGCAGAUUAAUUGAUCACAGUAAUAUAUUCUUAUCCACUGAGUAAGAGCAUUACACACAUUGUUUCUUGUUUUGUUUCUGGCUUGUAAAUCUUCAUUGUAGAAUACAAAUGAAAAUGACCCAAAUAUGUAUUAUUUAUGAAUAGGACUCUCAGAUAUUAUGCUUUAGAUUGAUUGUGUUAGACAGGAUAUAACAGAAGCACAAUAAGUCAAUGAAAAAUAAAAAGCGGCAAAAAUGUUUCAUGCUAAAAAUGUAGUUCUAGUGACACCUCUUAUAUAAAGGACAUUUCCAACACAUUGACAUUUAUAUUUAUCAUGGCUGUGUGUGUGAUUUACAGUUGUCUGAGGUACUGAAUAUCAGGAAUAUCCAUGCACAUACACACCCUUUUGAAUGAUGGUAAGUCAUAGACUGCUGCAUUGCCCCUUAUACAACAAGCUUUUCCUCCCCUUUUUAUUUUUCUUCUCUAGCUUCAGGGAGGCAAAGGAAGCAGUAGAUCAAUAGGGUGUCUUGACUGAAGUUGCCUGCAGCACUUCCAUUUCUCAGACUGGACACUGAUGCUAACUAUCAAUAGCAAUAAGAGGCUGUCUCAGACAGAAUUAAGGCUCCUUCUUCUGCAUGGCUGUCUGGUGCUUACUGAUAAACAUCUUGUGCGCAGGAUUGCAACAAAUAAACCAUUUCAAGUGUGCAAACUAGCCACUGUCAUUCUCCCUAUUGAUACUUGCUCUAGGGUGAAGUGACUAAUAGUUAUUUUCAUACAGCUGAUAGAUACACAGCAGAUAGGCAUUCAGAUGGAUAAUAGUGCAAAGGCUUAAUGCUAUAGAGUGUAGAAAGAUCAUUGACGAAAUUCUCUGUGCUCCCGUAGAGAGCCUGAGACAACAAAAGACAAAAAUAGUGACUUAUGUUUAAACUACUUAAGAGAAGCUAAAGAUGAAUUUAACUGUUUAUUAACAUCCAAUUUUUAGAUAGUGUUAAAUCCUGCCAAGCUAUUUUGUUCAGAAGUUAUUCAUUUUUUCCACUUCACUGGAUUUGCAAGUUUAGUCUGGAAAUAAAAGCUAACGGGGUUGUGUGCAGCUAUGAUAGAGAUGGGGAGGUGCUAGGCAGCACUGUGGUCACUUGUCAUUUGACCUGAGCUAUGCACCACACCUGAGGUUGCUAAUUUUGGAAGAACUGAGUCUCUUUAGCCUCCCUUCCUGGAAAAAAGAAAAAAAAAAAAAAAUCAAUUUCUCAACUGAUCUUUAGUUCUGUAGUGCAUUCCUUGUUUUCAGCCUGAAUAAGGAUGAAAAACCAGGUUCUCACCCACCCACAUGAAAUCACCAUUAAAAUACCUUGGCCCAGCUCUUCUUGGUGGUAAGUCCAUUAUAACUGUGCUUAAGCCAGAUAUUCACUAGAGUUGCACUAAUUUACAUCAAAUGAAGAGCUCACAUACUAAUCCGGGUUUAUUUUUCUUUUAAUUUUGCUUUAACUGACUGGGGUGGGGGAAGUGGUUCAGAUGCUCUGCUGGAAAAUCAACAGAGCCUUAUUUCAUAUCCUCCCUCUGUGGAGCUCUAACCAUUUACAGGAGCAAACAAUUUGGCUCUGAGACAUCUCCAGCUUUAUAUGAAGUGGUGCUUUUCAGAUUAGGAGGCUGGUUUUCUAAGGGAAAGUUCAGUGAACCCUUUUGAGUUUCAGACUAUCCCAAAGAAAAUGAUUAAAUAACGUUUCUUUCUUUCAAAUAAUUCUUAUGUUAAAUCUAACAAAGGCUGAUGGGUUUUAUAGGAUGAGAUUAUUCUGAAGAUAGUUCUGAUGUUGCUGAAUUCUUAAAUUAAGAUGAUUGAGGAGAAAAUAAACCAGGGCUUCCAAGAUUUUAUGGGAAAGGACACCAAUCAUGAAUUGAGGAGAAAAAAACCCUACUAAAAAUAUUUGCAUAAAAUGAUUCCUGAAUAUAUGUCUAUGAAUACAUAUAUUGGCUUUGAAAGAAGUGAAAUUAAAUGUUACCAGGAACAUAAUAUAGUGGGGGGAGCACAAUUUGUGUAUUUGUGUAUCACUUACUAAUAGACAUUUUCACUUUUGUCUCUGCACCGUAUGCUGCAGUUGGACUUGCCCACCACACACGAGCGGUGUGGGGGUGGAAUAGUUAAUAUGUGUACACUGCUCAGAGUCACUGCUGUUAUUAAUUGUCCUCCAGUAUAGAACACGUACAUUUUACACUAAUACGCUGAUUAGUGAGACAGAGCGUGCAGUUUCUAGCGAGGGAAGCUGGAAUUUCAGAAAUAGCUUGGCUCUUCACUUUGAUUACUUUCUGGCUAGAGAGUUGGAGUCAAACUAAUUCAUUUUGUAAACAUUACUGGUCAUUCAUGUACAGUGUGUUGCAUGAAUCAGUGUAGGACAGUCAGAUUGGUACAAGUUCAAAAGUCCAGAUGAAAAUUACUGUUUCACUGUACACAGCAUAAUCACUGUACAAAGUAAGAAGGAUCGUAUCUGUACUCUUUACUCAGGCAAAAUUCCCACCCCCCAAAAUUGGAAGAGUUUCCUUAAGAAAGGUGAAAAGACAAGGGUCUGAAAUGUUUGCUGAUGAGCAAUCCAUCCCCUGCACCCCAACAGGCAGCUUUCAACAAAUAUUUAUAGAGCUCAGGGAUACUGCUAUAGCCUCAACAUUUCAGCACAAAUAUUAAGCCACAACCUCAGCUAGUCUAAAUUGACGUAGUCCUAUUGGCUUCAGUGGCAUUAGAGUGAUUUACAAUAGCUGAGGUUCUCACUCCUUUUAUUUUUAACUCAGUGUCUCUGGCAGAGUAUGCUCUGCAUACUUCUUUCAGAUGAGGAGCAGAUUAGUUUUAAAGUAAAAAUUAAAGAAAAAAAAAAAAAAUAGCUCUUCAUCCAUCCUACUGGGCAAAAUUUCUGCCCAGUUUUGAGAGGGGCUCAGCUUAAAGGAAAAUGUGUUAGAAGGCUGAGUGUGAGUUUU